UUUCUAGUGAAGGAGAUGAUGCUGCCAUUUAUCCAAGGCCUCGGCUGCAGUCGUGAUCCUUAGACUUACACAUAGAACAAAUUGAUGGUGCUUAAUUGCUCUUUUUUUUUUUGGGGUCUUGGUGCUUAAUUGCUUAUCAAGGGAAUUGGUAAGUGAUAACAUAAGGCCCAUGAACAUCACCUCUAGAUGGAGUACAUGACGAGGAAGUGACUCAGCAUCAUAUAUGAUUGAUGAUUGAAUCAAGAAAUAAAGGCGAAAGAAGGCGACACAGCAAUCACUUGCUUUGUAGGGACAAAUAAUCACUUCUCAGUUCUCACAAAACAAAAAAAACUGCGCAAAAGUUUCAGGUGCUGCAAUGGCGAAUCGCCAAGUUGUCGGGUUCGUUGGGUUGGACGAUUUGAGCUUGCUGAUGGCGUCUUCGCUUAUUCGCCAUGGCUAUGCAGUUCAAGCUUUUGAGAUAAGUGAUUCCAGCAUAGAUGAACUUAUGAAGCUUGGAGGACGCAGAUGUUCAAGCCCUUUGGAAGUGGGAAGAGAUGUUACAGCUUUAGUGGUCCUAAUAUGCCAUGCGGAUCAAACUAAAGAUCUAAUUUUUGGAGAAGAGGGUGUUUUGAAAGGUCUAAAAUCGGAUACAGUUCUAAUCCUCCGUUCAACCAUAUCACCAUCAGUUCUCCAAAAGUUGGAGAAGGAACUGGCAGAAAUUCAUGAGAUAAAUUACAUUGUUGAUGCAUACGUCUCUCUUGGGAGGUCUGAUGCUUUCAAUGGAAAAAUCACUAUUGCAUCAUCAGGAAGACCGGAUGCCAUUGCAAAGGCUCGGCCUGUGCUUUCUGCAAUGUGUGAAAAGCUUUUCACUUUUGAGGGUGAAAUUGGUGGUGGCAGUAAGGUUAAAAUGGUUACUGAGUUGCUUGAGGGAAUUCACUUCAUUGCUUCAGUGGAGGCUCUCUCUCUUGGUGCCAAAGCUGGAAUUCACCCAUGGAUAAUCUAUGAUAUCAUUUCCAACGCUGCUGGAAAUUCAUGGGUUUUCAAGAAUAAUGUUCCUCUUUUGUUAAAGGGAGAGAUUAAGCAUCAAAUUCUAAACACUAUUGUUAAGGACUUGGAAAUCAUUUUGGAUAUGGCCAAGUCACUUACUUUUCCACUUCCACUUUUGGCUACCACUCAUCAACAACUUAUUCAUGGGAUCUCAAAUGUUUCUUGUGGAGAAGAUGAUAGUACAUCAUUAAUUAAGGUUUGGGAGAAAAUUUAUGGAGUAAAAGUUUCAGAUGCUGCAAAUGAAGAUUUAUAUAGCCCUGAACAAUUGGCAUCGGAAAUCACUUCGGAUUCUAAGAGUGGGAGAAGAGUUGGUUUUGUAGGCCUUGGAGCAAUGGGAUUUGGCAUGGCAACUCAUUUGGUGAAUUCAAAAUUCAGCGUCAAUGGUUUUGAUGUGUAUAAACCAACUCUAACACGAUUUGCAAAUGCUGGUGGCUUUAUUGGGAACUCUCCAGCUGAAGUGAGUAAAGAUGUUGAUGUUCUCAUAAUCAUGGUUGCAAACGAAGCACAAGCAGAAAAUGUAUUGUAUGGAGAAUCUGGUGCAGUUUCAGCUCUUUCACCGGGAGCAUCUAUAAUUCUUUCUUCUACUGUUUCUCCGGCAUAUGUGAGUCAGCUAGAGCGUAGAUUGCAUAAUGAGGGUAAAAGUUUGAAGUUAGUGGAUGCCCCUGUUUCUGGUGGAGUUAAGAGGGCCUCAAUGGGAACACUUACGAUAAUGGCUUCGGGAUCCGAUGAUGCUCUUAAGAGUGUUGGUUUAGUCUUAGCAGCCUUAAGUGAGAAGCUUUACAUUAUUAAAGGUGGCUGUGGUGCUGGAAGUGGUAUAAAGAUGGUUAAUCAAUUGCUUGCUGGAGUUCACAUAGCAUCAGCUGCUGAGGCAAUGGCAUUUGCAGCAAGACUGGGUCUGAAUACAAGACUGUUGUUUGAUUUUAUUACAAUUAGUGGGGGUACUUCCUGGAUGCUUGAAAAUCGUGUCCCACACAUGCUAGAUAAUGAUUACACACCAUAUUCAGCACUUGAUAUCUUUGUGAAGGACAUGGGAAUCGUUACUCGUGAAUCAGCUUCUUUGAAAGUUCCACUUCAACUAUCAACUAUUGCUCAUCAACUGUAUCUGUCAGGUUCUGCUGCUGGUUGGGGACGGCAAGAUGAUGCUGGUGUGGUUAAGGUUUAUGAGACACUAACCGGUGUCAGAGUUGAAGGGAAACUCCAGGUUCUGAGGAAAGACACUGUGUUGCAUUCUCUUCCAUCUGAGUGGCCUCAAGAUCCUCUCCUUGACAUACAAAAACUCACUGAAAGAAGUUCCAAGAUUUUGGUAGUUCUUGAUGAUGAUCCAACAGGAACACAAACUGUUCAUGAUAUAGAGGUAUUAACAGAAUGGAGUAUUGAAUCACUGACUGGGCAGUUUAGAAAAGGUCCAAAGUGCUUUUUCAUUUUGACAAACUCCAGGUCACUGAGUUCUGAGAAGGCCAGUGCACUGAUAACAGAGAUAUGCAGAAAUCUAGACACUGCAGCAAAAACAGUUGACAACAUUGAUUAUACAAUUGUUUUGAGGGGAGACUCAACUUUGCGUGGCCAUUUUCCUGAGGAAGCAGAUGCUGCUGUUUCGGUGUUAGGUGAAAUGGAUGCGUGGAUAAUUUGUCCCUUUUUCCUUCAAGGAGGCCGCUACACUAUCAAUGACGUACACUAUGUUGCUGAUUCUGAUACGCUUGUUCCUGCAGGGGACACAGAGUUUGCUAAAGAUGCUGCCUUUGGCUACAAAUCUUCGAAUCUGCGUGAUUGGGUAGAAGAGAAGACUGGUGGUCGAAUACCUGCAUCCACUGUUGCAUCUGUUUCCAUUGAACUUUUGAGGAAAGGAGGACCAGAUGCAGUUUGCCAGCAUCUAUGCAGUCUGAAAAAGGGUUCAGCAUGUGUAGUUAAUGCAGCUAGUGAAAGAGACAUGGCUGUAUUUGCACUUGGAAUGACCAAGGCAGAAUUGAUGGGAAAACACUUCUUAUGUCGUACUGCUGCUAGUUUUGUUUCUUCCCGAAUUGGAAUUAUCUCGAGGCCCCCAAUAUUGCCAAAGGAUCUAGGAAUUACUAGAGAAAGGAAUGGUGGUUUGAUAGUUGUGGGAUCAUAUGUUCCAAAAACAACAAAGCAGGUUGAAGAACUUAAAUUACAGUGUGGUCAGUUCUUGAAAAGCAUUGAGGUCUCAGUUGAAAAACUUGCAAUGAGGCCUGUCGAGGAGCGGGAGGAGGAAGUCAGUCGAGCAGCUGAAUUAGCAGAUGCAUACCUUAAAGCUCAUAAAGACACCCUUAUAAUGACCAGCCGGAAUCUCAUAACUGGAAAAACUGCGUCUGAAAGUUUGAACAUUAAUUUUAAAGUGAGCUCUGCUUUGGUGGAAAUAGUGAAAAGAAUAACUACAAAACCUCGCUAUAUACUUGCAAAGGGUGGUAUUACUUCUUCAGACCUUGCUACAAAAGCCCUUGGUGCUAGAUGUGCCAAGAUAGUUGGACAAGCACUUGCUGGAAUUCCCUUGUGGCAAUUAGGACCAGAAAGUAGGCAUCCAGGAGUUCCAUACAUUGUCUUUCCUGGCAAUGUUGGUGAUAGCAGAGCUUUGGCUGAAGUAGUCAAGUCCUGGACUCAUCGAAUCAGACUUACAUCAACAAAGGAGAUUCUUAGCAAUGCUGAAAAGGGAGGGUAUGCUGUUGGAGCAUUUAAUGUCUACAAUUUGGAAGGAGUUGAGGCUGUUAUUUCUGCAGCAGAGGAAGAACAAAGUCCUGCUAUAUUACAGAUCCAUCCUGGUGCCUUGAAGCAAGGAGGAAUUCCCUUGGUUGCUUGUUGCAUUUCUGCUGCAGAGCAAGCCAGUGUCCCGAUUACUGUUCACUUUGAUCAUGGAACUUCAAAGCAAGAUCUUGUGGAAGCUCUUGAUCUGGGAUUCAAUUCUGUGAUGGUAGAUGGUUCACAUCUUUCCUUCAAUGAAAACACUGCAUACACAAAAUUUAUAUCACUGCUGGCACACUCGAAAGGGAUAUUGGUUGAAGCUGAGCUAGGAAGGUUGUCUGGGACGGAAGAUGAUUUGACUGUGGAAGAAUAUGAAGCAAAGCUAACAGAUGUUAAGAUGGCAGAAAAAUUCAUCGAUGAGACCAGCAUAGAUGCUUUGGCAGUGUGUAUUGGAAAUGUGCAUGGAAAAUACCCUGCAAGUGGUCCAAAUCUCAAAUUUGAUUUACUGAAGGAACUGCAUGCAUUGAGCUUGAAGAAAGGAGUUUUCCUGGUGCUUCAUGGAGCAUCUGGCUUAUCCGAAGAACUUGUUAAGGAAUGCAUAAACCUUGGUGUUAGGAAGUUCAAUGUUAAUACUGAAGUAAGGAAGGCCUACAUGGAUUCCCUCAAUACUCCACAGAAAGAUCUAGUUCAUGUUAUGGCCUCUGCAAAGGAAGCCAUGAAAGCUGUGGUUGCAGAAAAGAUGCAUCUCUUUGGUUCAGCAGGAAAGGCAUGAUUUCUGCAUGUUUGCAAGCCGAAGUAGCUAGGAUUCCAUUGCAGAUUAUCAAUCAUUAUAUAUACAGGUGAGUGGACGUUGCAAGUAUGGCAGGCCCAAUGCGCAGGUUAUUAUGUGCUGAUUUUGCAUGUAUGAAGCAUGAUGGACACGUGUCGAGAUCAGGCACAACACACACCCUGCGUGUUAGACACGUGGUGAGCAACGAAAGCAACACGCAUACUGCGUGUUGGACACGUAACCGCUGCUGAUUCAAUGUGAUACCAACACGUAACCUGCGAGAGCAGCCAUAUCCCCUGCAUGCAAACACUGAAAAGUUGUGCAGAUUCUUUGGAAAAGAAAAGGAAUCUCUGCACCACCUGUUGCAGCACGUGGCCUCCAUGUUAAGGUUGGCUCGACAUGUAUUCUGCUUUGCUGAAAAAGCUGCUUCUACCAUAGGCAACCUGUUACUUGUGUGUUGAUGGGAGCCACAUAGUGGGAAAGAAGGGGUAAUGAUCCCCUAAUUUUAAUUUUUUAUACGUAAAUUAUAUGUAAAUUUUAAUUUAGUCUUUUUUAAAAUUUUAUUUUAAUUUUAUUUUAUUAUGUAAAUAUUUUUAACCCUUUUUAAUAUUUCAUCUAACUCCACUCUUAGAUGAGGGCUUGCCACAUGUCCCUCUUUUCUACAAAAGUUGGUUCAAGUUAAAGCAACACAUAACUUGUAUGUUGAGUGAGACAAUGUUGUAGUUUUAUAUUGUGGCAUAACACAUUGAUGAAGUAUA